UCAUUUUGCAGAGGUGUCAAGCUG
rnacentral:siRNA from 1 species